AUUGCAAGUCGAGCGGAACGAUGGAAGCUUGCUUCCAGGCGUCGAGCGGCGGACGGGUGAGUAAUGCAUAGGAAUCUGCCCGGUAGUGGGGGAUAACCUGGGGAAACCCAGGCUAAUACCGCAUACGUCCUACGGGAGAAAGCAGGGGAUCUUCGGACCUUGCGCUAUCGGAUGAGCCUAUGUCGGAUUAGCUAGUUGGUGAGGUAAUGGCUCACCAAGGCUGCGAUCCGUAGCUGGUCUGAGAGGAUGAUCAGCCACAUCGGGACUGAGACACGGCCCGAACUCCUACGGGAGGCAGCAGUGGGGAAUAUUGGACAAUGGGCGAAAGCCUGAUCCAGCCAUGCCGCGUGUGUGAAGAAGGCUUUCGGGUUGUAAAGCACUUUCAGUGGGGAAGAAAUCCUCGGGGCCAAUACCCUCGAGGGAGGACAUCACCCACAGAAGAAGCACCGGCUAACUCCGUGCCAGCAGCCGCGGUAAUACGGAGGGUGCGAGCGUUAAUCGGAAUUACUGGGCGUAAAGCGCGCGUAGGCGGCGUGAUAAGCCGGUUGUGAAAGCCCCGGGCUCAACCUGGGAACGGCAUCCGGAACUGUCAGGCUAGAGUGCAGGAGAGGAAGGUAGAAUUCCCGGUGUAGCGGUGAAAUGCGUAGAGAUCGGGAGGAAUACCAGUGGCGAAGGCGGCCUUCUGGACUGACACUGACGCUGAGGUGCGAAAGCGUGGGUAGCAAACAGGAUUAGAUACCCUGGUAGUCCACGCCGUAAACGAUGUCGACUAGCCGUUGGGGUCCUUGUGACCUUUGUGGCGCAGUUAACGCGAUAAGUCGACCGCCUGGGGAGUACGGCCGCAAGGUUAAAACUCAAAUGAAUUGACGGGGGCCCGCACAAGCGGUGGAGCAUGUGGUUUA
rnacentral:rRNA from 1 species